UGACCAUUUCCCAGCCAAAUGGGAAAUCAAGGCCAUACGGACAGCCGGGUCAAAUGCCGA
rnacentral:sRNA from 1 species